UCAAUUUACCGUAAAGGAAGAAACCAGUUUUACUAGUACAUCUGCAGCAAAAUUGAAAAAUUCGCAAGAUGAAGAAGUUUUAAUUAAUAAGAAUUACGGCUAUUGUAUUUUAGAAUGCUCGUCUCCAUAAAAGAAGUUCGGAGAAUGAACAUUUUGAAGUAGAGGAAGGUCUCUUGUAUGGAGCAGGAAUCGCCAAUUAAAAAUAUAUGACCAGAAGAGUUGAAAUCAUGCACGCCAGGGCACCCUUUCUUUGGCACCACCCACUUUGCCAGCUCAUAACUUUGUGAAUUUUGAGUUCUUUUUCGGUUAAUUUUUUACGUAAUCUUAAAAUAUCAAUAAACAAAUG